GACGGGGGGGGCAAGUGUUUCUUCGGAAUGACUGGGCGUAAAGGGCACGUAGGCGGUGAAUCGGGGUUGAAAGUGAAAAGUCGCCAAAAAAAGUGGCGGAAAUGCUCUCGAAAACCAAUUUCACUUGAGUGAGACAGAGGAGAGUGGAAUUUUCGUGUGUAGGGGUGAAAUCCGUAGAUCUACGAAGGAACGCCAAAAAGCGAAGGCAGCUCUCUGGGUCCCUACCGACGCUGGGGUGCGAAAAGCAUGGGGGAGCGAACAGG
rnacentral:rRNA from 1 species